CAGCAGCCACGGGAAUACGGAGGGUGCAAGCGUUAAUCGGAAUUACUGGGCGUAAAGCGCACGCAGGCGGUUUGUUAAGUCAGAUGUGAAAUCCCCGAGCUUAACUUGGGAACUGCAUUUGAAACUGGCAAGCUAGAGUCUUGUAGAGGGGGGUAGAAUUCCAGGUGUAGCGGUGAAAUGCGUAGAGAUCUGGAGGAAUACCGGUGGCGAAGGCGGCCCCCUGGACAAAGACUGACGCUCAGGUGCGAAAGCGUGGGGAGCAAACAGGAUUAGAUACCCGAGUAGUCCCUGUCUCUUAUAC
rnacentral:rRNA from 1 species